UUCUCAGCUGGUCCUCACUGCUACUA
rnacentral:piRNA from 1 species